UGGGGAAUAUUGGACAAUGGGCGAAAGCCUGAUCCAGCCAUGCCGCGUGUGUGAAGAAGGUCUUCGGAUUGUAAAGCACUUUAAGUUGGGAGGAAGGGCAGUAAGCGAAUACCUUGCUGUUUUGACGUUACCGACAGAAUAAGCACCGGCUAACUCUGUGCCAGCAGCCGCGGUAAUACAGAGGGUGCAAGCGUUAAUCGGAAUUACUGGGCGUAAAGCGCGCGUAGGUGGUUCGUUAAGUUGAAUGUGAAAGCCCCGGGCUCAACCAGGGAACUGCAUCCAAAUCUGGCGAGCUAGAGUAGGGCAGAGGGUGGUGGAAUUUCCUGUGUGGCGGUGAAAGGCGUAGAUAUAAGAAGGAACACCAGUAGCGAAGGCGACCACCUGGGCUCAUACUGACACUGAGGUGCGAAAGCGUGAGGAGCAAACAGG
rnacentral:rRNA from 1 species